UAACCAGGUUUCCACGCCCACUUGCAACCUGUAAUCCACCACUGAAACCCCUCUAUACUUUCUCUAGGGGGAAAAGUUCCUAAAACAACUAGGUUGCGACGCAGCUGCUGCACUCAGAAAUGCACGUAUAGGAGCUUACAAAUGUCACUCACACUCUCAAACAGUUGUUGAAGAUAAGAAGUCCAGGCAGUUUACAUUUGUUUUUAAUCUUGUUGGCAUUCAAAUGGAUUUUUCUUUGGCAGUGUUGAACUGUUCUGCGACAGUUUGUGGUCAAACACAUCCUGUGACAUAUUUCUCCAGUUUGACCUUUUUUUUUUCCUCCCUGCACAAAAGCUGCUGUAAUGACAACAAACAGCAGCUGUUUAUUCACUGGAUUUCCAGUGGAAUGGAAAAACAAAGAGCCGAGUAAAAGAAGGGCAUCACGCAGCCUCAGGAACCAUAACCCCCUUUUCCCUCCUCUCCGACCCCCUCUUUUCUAUGCCUUCCCCAGCAGAAGGAGGAGGAGGAAGAGGUCUCUGAAGGUGGCGCCUGAGAGGCAAUUACUGUAAUACAUUCACCCUUAGACCAUU